UACGAAGGGGGCUCGCGUUGCUCGGAAUUACUGGGCGUAAAGGGAGCGUAGGCGGGUUACCAAGUUGGGGGUGAAAGCCCGGGGCUCAACCUCGGAAUUGCCUUCAAAACUGAUAACCUGGAGUAUGGAAGAGGUAAGUGGAACUCCGAGUGUAGAGGUGAAAUUCGUAGAUAUUCGGAAGAACACCAGUGGCGAAGGCGACUUACUGGUCCAUUACUGACGCUGAGGCUCGAAAGCGUGGGGAGCAAACAGG
rnacentral:rRNA from 1 species